ACACCAUGGGCAGGGCUGGAAUUACUGGAGGUGUCUGCCUUUGUGAGGAACUCUUGAGCAAAUGAGCCUUCUGCAGACUGUGGAGAUGGAUGUCAAAGGAACAAGAUCUGUAACUUGGAGGUGCAAUGACUGAGAGGAUGAAGGAAGUGCUCCAGAUGGGGGACCCAUAAGAGCUGUGGGAACAGAGGAGACAUCACCCCAUCCCUGUGCACAGAGCUCCAGCUCACAGCUCCACUGGCCCUGUGCAGCCCAGCUGUGUGUACUGCAUCGUGAGCAGGUACAGAAUGGAAAUAAAAGACAUCAGUUUGAG
rnacentral:lncRNA from 1 species